GUGCUCACUUCAGCAGUACAUAUACUAAAAUUGGAACGAUACAGAGAAGAUUAGCAUGGCCCUUGCACAAGGAUAACAUGCAAAUUCAUGAAGGGUUCCAUAUUUUU
rnacentral:snRNA from 1 species